ACUCGUUAAACGCUUCAAUUUAGCAAAUAUGUACAUAUCUUCGGCAUAGUUAGCAAGUAACAAAACCAUUUAUAAGUUGUGGUAGAUUGUUAACUAAGUGGAUUCGCUUGUGAUAACUUAGAUUAAUCGAAUAUGAUAUCUCGGCUUGUAUAAUUUUAAUAUCACCUAUGCAAUAAAUCAGCUUUGCAAAUAUCACGCCGUCUUAUACAUAAGAACGUUCACCAGGAAUCCAAACUAGUCGUACGCUAAAAAUAAAUUUUUACGGGUAUUGGAGAUCUUUUGUUUACUAUAGUGCGUUAGUUUGUUCACUGCUUCUGGAUAAUAUAUAUAAUUUUCAAUGACUUAAAGACGAUGCAAUACCAAGUAUUACCAUUAUAAAGAAGAAAUUAAUAUUAAAUUUAAUCCUUAUUAACAGUGUGUCACUAUUUGAAUACUGUCCUUAGCUCCUCCAUCUUUCGUUGUAAACGCAUUCGAAAAGGCUUCUUUACAACUUAGACAAACAGUAGAUAGAAUCAGACCAUGCGUUAGUAUCAUUAGUAAUUGUAAUGG